UUCCAGGACAUUUUGUAAGGUGGCUGAAAAACAAGACAGAUGCUUCCAGAAUCAAUCACCGAAUGGUGGAUCUACAGCCAACCACCCAUUCUCUUCAGUCACUGAGAUGAUAUGAUGCUGCUGGUCCAAGGACUACAUUUCGAGAACCCCAACCACGCAUGGAUUGUUGUCAACUAUGAAUCACAAGAUUUCCAGGGUUUUGUCUGCUGCCUUCCCUGCAAGCCCUGCCAUCCACUGAGACCCAACCUCAGCCAUUCUUGGCACAUCAGCCCAUGAGAAGUCUGCCACUCUUUCUUCCUAAGCAAAGCAGCAUCCUUCAGGGCCUGGAGCUCCUGGACACAAAAGCCAUUUUUGGGAGGUAAGUAGUGUAGCUCUCAACUAGUGGGUUAAAAGGAGGGUUGAUGUUCUUUGGUCUUAAACAUUUUCUCUUAGUCACGCCCAUCUCUAUUCUGGUUCUUAAAAAAGUUUCUCAAUUAAUUUAGAAAGUUAGUGACUAACCAGAUAACCAUCAACAUAAUGAACACGUGUGUUACACCUUGCAUUCCUAUGUGUUCUCUCAUGUAAUCCCAG
rnacentral:lncRNA from 1 species